AACGAACGCUGGCGGCAUGCCUAACACAUGCAAGUCGAACGAGACCUUCGGGUCUAGUGGCGCACGGGUGCGUAACGCGUGGGAAUCUGCCCUUUGCUUCGGAAUAACAGUUAGAAAUGACUGCUAAUACCGGAUGAUGUCUUCGGACCAAAGAUUUAUCGGCAAAGGAUGAGCCCGCGUAGGAUUAGGUAGUUGGUGGGGUAAAGGCCUACCAAGCCGACGAUCCUUAGCUGGUCUGAGAGGAUGAUCAGCCACACUGGGACUGAGACACGGCCCAGACUCCUACGGGAGGCAGCAGUGGGGAAUAUUGGACAAUGGGCGCAAGCCUGAUCCAGCAAUGCCGCGUGAGUGAUGAAGGCCUUCGGGUCGUAAAGCUCUUUACCAGGGAUGAUAAUGACAGUACCUGGAGAUAAGCUCCGGCUAACUCCGUGCCAGCAGCCGCGGUAAU
rnacentral:rRNA from 1 species